rnacentral:lncRNA from 1 species
GAAAUAAUAUGUUUUUAAAAAUGUAAAAAUUGUUUGAAAAAUUUGAGUUGUUACAUGGACCUCAUUAGGUUAUGUACGGGUGGCGAUUGUGGGUUUGGAUCUCAUCAGGUCAUGUGCGGGUGUUGGUUGUGUGUUUGGACCUCAUUAGGUCAUGUACGAGUGUUGGUUGUGAGGUUUAGACCUGAUUAGGUCAUGUAUGGGUGUUGGUUGUGGGUUUGACUUCAUUAGGUCAUGUACGGGUGUUGGUUUUGGGUUUGGACCUCAUCAGGACAUCUUUUGGUGUUGGUUGUGGGUUUGGACCUCAUUAGGUCAUGUAUGGGUGUUGGUAGUGGGUUUGGACCUGAUUAGGUCAUGUAUGGGUGUUGGUUGUGGGUUUGGAUCUCAUUAGGUCAUCUAUAAAUGUUAGUUUGGAGCUCGUUAGGUCAUGUAUGGGUGUUGGUUGUGGGUUUGGACCUUAUUAGGUCAUGUAUGGGUGUUGGUUGUGGGUUUGGAACUCAUUAGGUCAUCUACGAAUGUUAGUUUUGGGUUUGGACCUCAUUAGGUCAUGUAUGGGUGUCGGUUGUGAGGUUUGGACCUCAUUAGGUCAUGUACGGGUAUUGGUUGUGGGUUUGGACCUCAUCAGGUCAUCUAAUGGUGUUGGUUGUGGGUUUGGACCUCAUUAGGUCAUGUAUGGGAGUUGGUUGUGGGUUUGGACCUCAUUAGGUCAUGUACGGGUGUUGGUUGUGGGUUUGGACCUCAUCAGGUCAUCUACUGGUGUUGGUAGCGGUUUUGGACCUCAUUAGGUCAUGUAUGGGUGUUGGUUGUGGGUUUGGACCUCAUUAGGUCAUGUAGGGGUGUUAGUUGAGGGUUUGGACCUCAUUAGGUCAUCUACAGGUGUUGGUUGUGGGUUUGGAUGUCAUCAGGUUAUCUUUUUGUGUUGGUUGUGGGUUUGGACAUCAUCAGUUCAUGUAUGGGUAUUUGUUGUGGGUUUGGACCUCAUUAGGUCAUGUAUGGGUGUUCGUUGUGGGUUUGGACCUGAUUAGGUCAU